GGUUCUUGUGGCAGGUGUCGCGACGGGAUCAGAAAAGGACCUUGUUUGAUUCAAAAUGGCGUUCAGCAUCCAAACCGUCACUCGUGUCGUGGUGCUGACAGGGAGCGCUUCUGUCAGUUACACGGGGUCCGGACUCGCAGUUUCGUGGGUGUGUUCUGGAGAGAAUUUGUUUGAAGAUAUUGAAUAUUCCCAUCAGCAAUGGGUGGUUUUGCAUGGGUGACGUUGGCGACCAACGAUUCUUACUCUCUUGGAGCUCUCGUUUUGGCGCAUUCUUUACGAAGGGUCGGUACCAAAUAUGAACUUGCAGUUCUCGUCACACCAGGAGUCACUCAAGUGAUGAGGGAUAAAUUGUCUACCGUAUUUUCCCUCGUCCAAGAAGUUAACGUUCUGGAUUCAAAGGAUGAAGCCAAUCUUGCACUACUAGCGAGACCGGAACUUGGUAUCACAUUUACAAAAUUGCAUUGCUGGAGACUCACCCAAUAUGAAAAAUGCGUCUUUGUCGAUGCUGACGCGCUCGUAGUCAGAAAUUGCGAUGAACUUUUUGAACGAGAAGAGCUAACAGCUGCCCCCGAUGUUGGCUGGCCUGACUGCUUCAACUCUGGAGUUUUUGUCUUCAGACCUUCCCAGCAAACUUUUGCUUCGAUCACAGCCUUUGCUGCUGAAAAGGGAUCGUUUGACGGUGGUGACCAAGGGCUUCUCAAUUCCUAUUUCAGCGACUGGGCGCACAAAGAUAUCUCUAAACAUCUACCCUUCAUCUACAAUAUGUGCUCCACUGCUACCUACUCGUACCUUCCCGCGUACAAACAGUUUGGUGACAACGUUCGUAUAAUACAUUUUAUUGGAGCAACAAAACCCUGGCUUCAAUACUUCGAAACAGAGACAGGCGUAGUGCACCCACCGUCAGGCAGCAAUCACCUUCAGCCUUUACUCCAACUUUGGUGGAACAUUUUUUGCGAUAAUGUUCAUUCCCAGCUUUCACCAGUCAUGCCAAACUAUGAUCGCGGAAAUAGGGAUGGGUAUAUUGAACAGGCUGGUAUCGCUGGUGCUCUCGCAAAACUAACGUUGGGAGAACCAAGAAGUGAAGAACAAGUUGCUCUCGAGGAACAUAUGAGAAGACAAGGCUGGGAGCAAGGGCAAAUUGAUUACAUGGGACGCGACAGUUUCGAAAAUAUUUGGAAAAAAAUAUGCACCACCCUCGGGCAGGCACCACCGAGGGAACUUUCUCCUCAAAAGGAGCAAGAGAAAGAGAAGGUGGACGAGAUCUUAGAAUUAGGAUCUCCCGGUGUUCAAAAAUUACCAACAGAAGUUGAGCCGGGUCCAACGGCUGAGGACAGCAACUAACUGGCCGCGGCGCCAUGCACUGCUGCGUCUUGUAUUGUCGUUUUGCUUUGAUGGGCUGCCGAAUUAACGGAUGAGGCAACAAAAAUUGAAACUGGAUUUGGAGACAUUUCCUCGCCCAGCAUACCCGAGGACCCCAAAGCGGCG
rnacentral:misc_RNA from 1 species